UGGGUCUCCCAGAGAGCCACUCACCCCACAGUAAUCAUUUUCCUUAAAACAAGGCUCUCUGGGUACCCCGGGCAGCCCACCACUUCCCCCACCAACCGGAAUAUCCUGGAACACUACCUUCACUGCUCCCACACCCAGCAGUGACCUAAAGGCUUGCUUAGCACCAUCCCAGAUGUCAAGGUUCUAGGGCAAAUGAAACGAGUGGGUUUGGAAAUCCGAGGAAGCCAGGGCUCAUAAAGAGAUGAGGAAAUGGGGCCAGGGAGGGAGUGAAGGCACUGUCAUCCCCAAGUGCCAUCAAACCGAGAAGGAGUUUGCCAGCCCAGGAGAUGAGUAAAACCUGAAGUUUGAGGAAGGGCAGAUGCAUCCUAUUGUGACUAGGGCUCAGCACGCCCCAAUCGUAGGCCACCUCAUGGCUUCCAAGAGGGAUUUGAGAUGUAUAAAAGGUGUGCAGUCUCAGAGCAUCCCCAAAGCCUCAGCAUCUCCACGUUCCAGCCACUGGUGAACUCGGUGCACAUCCAGACCAGAAUGUAUCAGCAAACGCAGAAGCUGUGCUUCCCCCCUCCAAAGCAUUGCUGCCCACCAUCCCAGCAAUUCUGCCCCCCACCAAAGUAUUGCUGCCCCGCACCCCGGCAAUACUGUACCCCAACAAAGUAUUGCUUCCCCGCACCCCAACAGUGUUGCCCACUACCAAAGUAUUGCUGCCCCGCACCCCGGCAGUGCUUCCCACUACCAAAAUAUUGCUGCCCCACAACUAAGCAGUACUGUCCCCCUCUCCAGUACUACUGCCCCCCACCAAAACGGUGCUAGACCCCCCUCAGCACGCCAAGCAGCCUUGCCAGCCUCCACCUACGUGCAAGGUGCCCUGUGUCCCCAAGUGCCAGCACAAGUGCCCACACCCUCCGCAAUGCCAGAAGUCCAAGCUGAAGUCUCCCCUGGCCAUGGGAUCUGAGGCCAAGCCCCCUGGAGAACAGAGACCAUGAAGCCCACUGUCUUCUCUCAGCCAGCCAGCUGUCAGCGCCACUCUCCCCCAGAUUCUGGAGGCAGCCACACUUCGGGAAAAGCAGCACCAGUUUGGCAGGUUCCUGGGUCAAGAUUUCGUAUUAAUUAGCAGCUGCAAGUUCCAUCUCAGAAAAAGAUCUGUUUCUAAACCAUCUAAUCUUCUCUGUUGCCUUGUAUCGACUUUGCCCUGUCGGCUUCUUGGAAACUUAGGCAGCAUGGUGGGACAUCCUUUCCUAGCACCCUUCGUUUCUAUGCCCGUUUUCCCAACUAUUACACACAAUUCCUUUGACA